GCAAAACUUGUCAGAGGUAACAUAAGAGUAAACGCAUAUACUAUCGCAAGCGAGCAUGGAUAUAGUUUUCUUAUCAACAUAGCGAUCUCCUCAGAUGCAAGGCUACAAAAUAAGCCAUCUUCUUUAUUAUAAUUUUUGAAAUGCAAUUAAGGUGCCAGGGUUAACCUACGACAGCCAAUUAAGUGGCGGAAUAGCUUUUCCCCUUAGUCUUAUUUCAAAGUAUAGACCGUUUUGUUUAAUCCCGCCGGUAUGUCCU
rnacentral:ncRNA from 1 species